GCCGGGGUGGUGGAAUGGCAGACACGUCGGUCUCAAAAACCGAUGAGGGUGACCUCAUGUGGGUUCAACUCCCACCCUCGGCA
rnacentral:tRNA from 1 species